CUUGGUCAUUUAGAGGAAGUAAAAGUCGUAACAAGGUACUCGUAUGUGAACCUGCGUGUGGAUCAUUAGUAGUUUGCCGGCGGUGCCGGGUUAGUUGUCAAUCGCCGGGAGUGCCGGUAGCUUUGUGGUAUGGUAUGGUAUGGUAUGGUAUUAGUGUGCAUCAAUUAUUUACAACUGUCAGCAAGGGAUCAUUUGGUUCUCGUAACGAUGAAGAACGCAGCGAGGUGCGAAAUGUGGCGCGAUACGCACAAUCUGUGAGACGUCGAAUCUUUGAACGCAGCAUGCGCCUUCUGGGCAACCGGUGGGCAUGUCUGUCUGGGUGUUUUGGCGAUCUUUCGGCAGAAUAUGGCCGGGGGUUUCUUGUCGGGAUGUUUUAUCCAACCGACGUGUCUGCAGUGCCACAAGCACUGUCAAUCACAUGGCUAGCAGUGCAGUGAUGUUCACCUGCGUAGCCCUACCAACAAACAUAACCUCAGAUCAGAUAGGACUACCCGCUGAACUUAAGCAUAUCAAUAAGCGGAGGA
rnacentral:rRNA from 1 species